rnacentral:rRNA from 1 species
UACGGAGGGGGCUAGCGUUGUUCGGAAUUACUGGGCGUAAAGCGCACGUAGGCGGCUUUGUAAGUUAGAGGUGAAAGCCCAGGGCUUAACCCUGGAAUUGCCUUUAAGACUGCAUCGCUAGAAUUGUGGAGAGGUAAGUGGAAUUCCGAGUGUAGAGGUGAAAUUCGUAGAUAUUCGGAAGAACACCGGUGGCGAAGGCGGCUCUCUGGACCGUAACUGACGCUGAGGCGCGAAAGCGUGGGGAGCAAACAGG